UAGGGAAUCUUCGGCAAUGGACGAAAGUCUGACCGAGCAACGCCGCGUGAGUGAAGAAGGUUUUCGGAUCGUAAAACUCUGUUGUUAGAGAAGAACAAGGACGUUAGUAACUGAACGUCCCCUGACGGUAUCUAACCAGAAAGCCACGGCUAACUACGUGCCAGCAGCCGCGGUAAUACGUAGGUGGCAAGCGUUGUCCGGAUUUAUUGGGCGUCAAGCGAUCGCAGGCGGUUUCUUAAGUCUGAUGUGAAAGCCCCCGGCUCAACCGGGGAGGGUCAUUGGAAGCUGUGAGACUUGAGUGCAGAAGAGGAGAGUGGAAUUCCAUGUGUGGCGGUGAAAUGCGUAGAUAUAUGGAGGAACACCAGUGGCGAAGGCGGCUCUCUGGUCUGUAACUGACGCUGAGGCUCGAAAGCGUGGGGAGCAAACAGG
rnacentral:rRNA from 1 species